UACGAAGGGUGCAAGCGUUGUUCGGAUUUAUUGGGCGUAAAGAGCUCGUAGGCGGGAAUGAAAGUCAAGUGUGAAAUCCUAGGGCCUAACCCUAGAGCUGCGCCUGAAACUACAUUUCUAGAAUGUCGGAGAGGGAAGUGGAAUAUCGCAUGUAGGGGUAAAAUCCGUAGAGAUGCGAUGGAACACCAGAGGCGAAGGCGACUUCCUGGACGACUAUUGACGCUGAGGCGCGAAAGCGUGGGGAGCAAACAGG
rnacentral:rRNA from 1 species